rnacentral:tRNA from 1 species
UCCCUGGUGUCUUAGUCAUAAAAGAGUCUGCCUGCAAUGCAGGAGACAUGGGUUCAAUCCCUGGACUGGGAA